GACGAACGCUGGCGGCGUGCCUAAUACAUGCAAGUAGAACGCAGUUGCGAACGGGUGAGUAACGCGUAGGUAACUGCCUGGUAGCGGGGGAUAACUAUUGGAAACGGGCGCUAAUACCGCAUACUAUCAGAUGAGCCUAGGUCGGAUUAGCUAGUUGGUGGGGUAAAGGCCUACCAAGGCGACGAUCCGUCACUGGUCUGAGAGGAUGAUCAGUCACACUGGAACUGAGACACGGUCCAGACUCCUACGGGAGGCAGCAGUAGGGAAUCUUCGGCAAUGGACGGAAGUCUGACCGAGCAACGCCGCGUGAGUGAAGAAGGUUUUCGGAUCGUAAAGCUCUGUUGUAAGAGAAGCGGUAUCUUACCAGAAAGGGACGGCUAACUACGUGCCAGCCGCCGCGGUAAUAC
rnacentral:rRNA from 1 species